CAUAACAUUUCAUCCACGUUCUAGGUUAACUGACCAUGAUCUUAAACAAUUUUCUUUCUUAUAUUAGUUUUUCAUCUACAAAUUUACUCUCUUUUUUUUUCCUUUAGUUUUUCAGUUUUUCUCUAUCUUCUCCAUUAUCAAAUGAGCAAGACAACGGAUCCUUUCAUAUCUCCUAAAUUUCAGUUUGAUCUCGACCAGUGCCUUCAUAUCUACUUUCUUUUUUCUGCACCAAAUCUAAUAUUUUAUCCCUCCUAAGUUCAUCGCCAACAAGUUCUUAGAAUGAUAUGGAUUGUGGCGGUCGAAUUUAAAAUCAAGUCGAGAAGAGAUUGAUACUAGUACGGUGAUUUUGAAGAGAUUCAGAGAGCUUUAAAAAUUUGUUGCAGGAUUGAUAGCAUACCUCUUGUGGAAUAUAGUGGCAGUAACGUUGCUUGGAUCAAACGAAGAGGUUACUGUUUUUACCCGAAUGAUCAGACUCAAUUUUUUAUUUCCACUGAUCAUGUUCACUCAUCUGAUUUUGAUGCAAUCAGGUCCCACUAUAUGCUUGAAAUUGUUUUAUGGGUUAAUCAUAGGAAUACGAAGGGACAACAAGGUUGGACAAAUAGAUUUAAGAAAUCAGACCAUGCAUACUAAUGUAAAUAUUUACCACUUUUCUUUCAGUUGUUUUAUUGUUAUUGAGUUUUUUUGUUUAUCAUAGAUUUAUACAAGGCAAAAGAAAGACAGUUCAUGUUGCAAUCAAAGAACGUGAAGAUGACAUAUUAGUGUUGUUGUUGGGACGAUAUUGAGUCUGUUGCAGUGGUGAAAAAAGAGGUUGAAUAAAGAGAGGAAGUGCAGACAAUAUUACAUGUGGGAGAAGCAAAAUAAAGAGAGGAAGUGCAGACAAAAUUACAUGUGUAGUUGUUUGUUUUCUGGAGAUCAAGACUGCUAACAUCAAAGCUUCCGACAUAUCCUCAACACAUGCUAGCUCAUCUCAAGAAGCAAAUCAAUGGCAAAGAGCAGUUAGCAAUGACUCAGACCACAAGAUCUCAGCCAAAGAAACCAAUCAAGAUCAUACCGCAGUACACAGCGACUUGCGGUCCAAGAAAGCCUGAACCAAAAGCCGACCGCAGCUAGAAGCAGCCAAGACUUAGGCAGGCUCAACUCAAAAGCUAACUGCCGUUCACAGCGGCUCAGAGACCAUACCUCUAUGAUUGACAUGUAAUAAAGUUACAUGUUGCAUUUGGUCUUUAUCUCUACAUACAUGUAAGAUUUGCAAUUCUACAAUGCUCAAAAUAUAAAACAAUACAUAAGCAAAAACUUGUUCAAAAUCACAUGAUAUAUACAACACAAGUUACAUAUAAACACAUCCACUCUCUUCUCCUCCUCUCUCCCUCCCAUAACAAGUACUAAGAACUCAACAAUAAGAACAAACAACUCUUAAGAAAAAAGUUUGUUAAAACCUUAUUACUAAAACAACACCAAACACCAUUUUAGAUUCUCUCUCUCGCAAUCUCUAAAAUGUAGGUACAAGUCCAAACCCGCUAAACAUACCGCCAUGACCAACAAC